AAAGCCCAAAACAGUAUCUUAUGUCGUCUUCUCAUCAAAACCCUAAAUUCUAAAUUGUUUCUUCUCACAUCCAAAUCCUAAAUUCUAAAUUGUUUCUUCUCACAUCCAAAUCCUAAAUUCCAAAUUGUUUCUUCUCACAUGCAAUAAGGAAGACUAAGUUAAUCAAAGGGUGAAUCAUCUCUAUUUUCGUCUUUCAUAUAUUUCAAAAGAGGGUCGAUUUUCAUAAGCUGCAAGGAAGUCGGAAAAGCAAACAAAAUCAUUAUGUUGUUGUCUCUGUCUCUUGCCAUCUAAGAUCUAUAAGGGUUUAUGCAUUAUCAUGGUGGGUCUAUUGAAGGUUAGAUUCCUCCCUCUUCAAUCAAUAACAUUUUUCUUUUUCAAUCUAUUUUUUUAAGCUUUCCAUUUUAUUUGUUUGGUCUUGUAUCAUUCUCUAUUUUGAAUAAAUUAUCUCUCUAUUCAAGAUGUAGAAAUUUUUGAGAUUAAGUAGGUUUAUGGACCAAGAGCAAAAUUUGAUUAGUUGUUCUGACUUACGGUAGUCCUUUGUUGUCCCUGGUUGAGUAUUAAAUUUCAUAGAGGAAAUUGAAUCGGAAGGGAAGGUUAUCUAUGUGUUUCUAAGGGAAACUGAACUUCUUCUUUGGGGCAAGACAGUAGGGAAGCUGAACUUCUUCUUUGGGACAAGACAGUACUAAACAUACUUGGUCUGUGGGUUUAAUUAAUGGGUGAACUAUUGUCUAAGGAACCACUUUUCAAUGAAAAAAAGAGAAUUUGAUCAACUGUAAAAAUUAUAUGCUAAGCGUCAAUUAAUUGGUAGAAUAUAUGCUCUUAUUUUUCUCUUGUAAAUUUUGUUUUCUUGUGCCUAACCACUUUUAUAAUCGUUGUUGCCUGCUAUAUUGAUGCUUUUUUUCCUUUCCGGAUUUUAAAAAUAUUUGGGACUCCAAAUGAAACAAUUUGGCCGAGCUUCUCAAAAUUGAUGGGAGUCAAGGUUAAGUUUUCAAGCACCUGGACAAUUUUUGCUUUUUCUAUUGUAGGGACAAUUGAAAUUAAGGCUAGGAUUGCCUAUCCAAAUGAGAGCUAAAGCACAAAUAUAACUAUCGUUAUAUUUUUGUUUCAUGAUUUUGUUGUAUAUAGAAGUACCACAAACCUUAAGCAAAAAGAAUUGGUUUAAUGAGUUAGGGUAUUUAUUGUUGUAUAUUUAACUUUAUAUUACAGUGGAAUUUCUUUAUGUAAA